rnacentral:rRNA from 1 species
GACGAACGCUGGCGGCGUGCUUAACACAUGCAAGUCGAGCGGUAAGGCCCUUUCGGGGGUACGACGAGCGGCGAACGGGUGAGUAACACGUGGGUGACCUGCCCUCCAGCUCUGGGAGUAAGCCUCGGGAAACCGGGUACUAAUACUGGAUAUGACUCCAUGACGCAUGUUGUGGGGUGGAAAGCCUUGUGCGGCUGAGGAUGGGCCCGCGGCCUAUCAGCUUGUUGGUGGGGUGANGGCCUACCAAGGCGACGACGGGUAGCCGGCCUGAGAGGGCGACCGGCCACACUGGGACUGAGACACGGCCCAGACUCCUACGGGAGGCAGCAGUGGGGAA